AGAGACUGGAACUCUACAGCCAAUGCUUUUUGUGUGCUUCUUAUAUAUCUCACAAAGAAUCCUUCUCUUUCAGGGACACAGAAGUAAUCGAAAGAUUCAGUGAGCGUACACCUCUGGACUUGCCUGAUGCAUUAGCUGCUUUGACUGCUUCAGGUGGCAUGUCACUUAUGUUGAAUUUGUGCCACUGAAUGUAAUCAGACUCCAGGGUUGAGAACAAGCAGAAAGCAAUUAGUCAGAUUUUACAGCCAGUCCCUAUGUUGAGCCACUGAGAUUCAAAAGGAGAAAAAAUUGGUUCUGCAGAUCAUCACCCUGGCCUUUUCUACUAUGAUCUUCAGUAGAAGAGAGCAUUAUUAUUAUUAACUGUAGUGGUGAUUUCAGUGAACUAGAAUAUACUAGUCAGUAUGUCUCUUUUAGAUCUUCCUUGCUGACAUGCGUAUUUCUCCUCUCUCACAAAGCUAUACAGACUAUCUCAAUUUAAAAUUAUUCUUGUUAAACUGUUUAGCUCUCUGCUUAGCCUCUGCUGAAAAUCUAUUCCUAGGCUGUGUCUGUUUUUCCACAUGAAAUCCAGAUUUUUCAUCUUAAUUUUCUAGGCUUUUUGUAAAAGUCCUAGAUCCCCACUUUUGUCCACUGCACAUUCUCAUUUUAAUCUAUGCAGUUUGGGCUAGGGUAUGAACAAAUCAAAAUUUACUUAGCUUGCACUGUGCAUGAAUGACAAUACACAAUGUUGAGUAGUGAAGGACCGAACCCUAUAUUUCUGCCCUCAUUUUCUGCUACCCUUUGUUUUACAUUGUGAUCUCCCUAUCUCAUCCGAUAGACUACUGAAAGUAAGAAUUAACCAAUUCUGCCUAAGCAAGUCACUUCAUUUUCCAUGCUUCAUAGUCCUUAUUAAAAUGGUCAUCCCUAUAGAAUCCUGUCCCCAACUUGACUUUUUUCUGUGGUAACCCCUAUGUUAGGAACAGGCUUUUUCUCCGUUAGCCAGAUAACUUUCCUCCUCUUAUCUCCUUUGCCCUUUUCUUACCGCCCACUACCAAAACAACUGACUAUUUUUCAAUUUUAAAGAAAAAAUAAAAAUGACUAUAUAUAUAUACAAAUAUUUAUAUAUUAAAAAGCAGAAUCUUUAAGAAGCAGCCCAAACCCAGUAUCCUAACAAACUGUUCCUUCCCUUCCUGUAAGUUGUACAAUUCUGCAUGACCUCAAAACUGUGAACUCUUUGAGUGUGGACUGUAUUUUUUUCAUUAAUUAUUAUGCACAGUUAUCAUCCUGCAGCAGUAACAAUGGCAUUUGCAGUUUUACAGUGAGCCUACAAACGCAUCUUAGAAGGGAGAGAAUCAUGUAAAAGCAGGAUUCUGAGCCAUCAUCCCUAGCAGCCUUGUGAAAUUAAAGAAUGGAGUAAUUUAGGCAAUUACUGCAUUAGUUUUCUCCAGAUUGAUGCCCCUUUUCCUCUCUCAGACACUGGGAAACUCCUUUAAAAGGGGUCUCUGCAUAGCUCUGUAAUACAAAUGACCUGAAAAACACAGGCAUGGUCAGAAGCUGACAGGAAACGGGGCAUGCUAAUGUGCAAACAGAUGCUGAGGCAAUAGUAGCAUCCUAGACCCCCAAAUCUCUUUGUAUCUGAGAGAUCUAUAAACAUUUGUGAGACUAUAAAUUUACUAAGGUGCACAGAGGAGAUGGCUUGAGCUAACCAUUUUUGUUCCAUGCUAGCAUCUGUGCUGUAACUAUAGGAACAGACUCUAUAAAUAGCCCAACCCAGUUACCUUUUUCAGAACUUCAGGGAUGGCUAAUCCCGAAAAUAGAUGAAUUACAUAACUCUGUUCUCUAAACAUACUCGUUCACUCUGCAGAUUGGGUUCUUUAGACACCACUGUAAUAUUAGUGCAUCCCUCUAGCUUAUGUUCAGUACUCACUGGAGCAAUUGUUGAGGAUGAGGCUAAUUUUCAGCAUCUGAGGAUUUGGACUUUGGCUGCAGAUAUUUGUCAAAGUGCAUUUCAAAAGAAGAGCAUGUCUGAAAUAUCAGACUGUAACACUGAUUCUAAAGUUAAAUCAGGUAGGGUCAAAAAGGCUGAUUUUGACACACCAGGCUGGAUGCCCAUGGCUGAGGGGAAGCAAACACUCAAACAGAAUUGUGCACAUUUGCAAGACUGUCCUUGAACUUCAGGUUACAACAGAAGCCAGAGAAGUGUUUCUUCCUCUGGAAAACAAUAGCAUUUAAGAAGCACGGUAUACUAAAGGAAAGAUCUCCUUCUGGAGCUCUGAAAUCUGCCCUUAAAGGAGCAACUGUACACAAACCCGGACCCAGUGUAUUGUAAGUGGAAGUGACAUCCUUGGAUCCAAUGCUAACUCUUCAAAACUCUUAAGGGCCUUCUACAGUGAAAUUGUGUAUAGGAAAUAUCUGCAAACAUAAUACCACAGGAGUCCUUGAUGCAUCCAAUGUCCAGUUACUGCCUUCUCAAGCUGAACCAUCACAUAUGUCACUGCUACAGCGGCCUACCAGCCUAAUAAUGUAAAGAGAGGACAUUGCAUUGGAAUGAGCACAUCUGAAGACACACACGCUCAACUAUGACCUCAUCACAUUAAGGAUAUACUUAGAGGAAUAGUAUCCUCCCAGGAAAGAGUGCUCUACAGCUGUGUUAUCACUAAUGCCUGAGCAGGUCUCCUGCUUAUGGUAAUUCUCACAGCACCUUUGAGGGAAGAGUUACUUCAUGCAUUUUACAGAUGAACGAACAGAAAUAGGAAAAACUAUGUCGACGAAUCUCUGAGCUGAAAUCUGCCUAGAACGAUAGGAAAUAUCACCAGAAGCCCCCUGCAUCACUGCGUGCAAGUGGAGAUAUGUUCCCAGAAAUGUGGUGGACACUGUAAGGUGAUGUUUGCAGAGACUGAAAGCUGAACUUGUUUGGUAUGUGAAGUCCUGCAUUCCAGGCAGCAGUGCAGACCACAGGGCUGCCAGUCUAUUACUGCUCUAUUAUGUAAUGUUUACAAGCUCUUUGCCACAAGUGAUCUAACACCUGCAAAAGGCACAUACUUCCCACUCCACUGGGGUUGCAAUCUUGUUUUUUCAUCCCUGUAUUGAUCUGCACAGAGGAAUUAUAUAAAAUCUGCAAAAAAAAGCUUCUUAGGUGUUACUAGAUUUUCACUCUAUGUGUGUGUCAUGUUUUGGACUCUUCAGACACAUUUAUUUUCUUUCCAUCCGCCUUCACUGUUUUAUCCAUCUCUCUUCUGGUUCUCUCCUGGGGUUUUAUUCCUAAUUUAUAAUCAGUUAUAUGGCAUGCUACCUACUGUAUUUCUGAAGAAAUAUGAAAACAUAUUGUUCUGCUUAAUUUUCUGCUCUGUUCUUUUGAAGCAUGAAGUAAAAGCUCUUUGCAAAAACACGAACACUGAAUGGCAU